UGCCCAGCAACUCCUAUCCCUACCUCCUCGCGGUACUGGCCGGAAACUAUGAGCAACCUUAGGGAAGAUCGGAUAACCAACCCCGGUGGGACUUUGGUCGUAGGCUGACAGGGAAGG
rfam:Aedes albopictus isolate Foshan contig75751, whole genome shotgun sequence.